ACGAACGCUGGCGGCAUGCCUAACACAUGCCAGUCGCACGAGACCUUCGGGUCUAGUGGCGCACGGGUGCGUAACGCGUGGGAACCUGCCCUUAGGUUCGGAAUAACUCCCCGAAAGGGGUGCUAAUACCGGAUAAUGUCUUCGGACCAAAGAUUUAUCGCCUUUGGAUGGGCCCGCGUUGGAUUAGCUAGUUUGUAGGGUAAAAGCCUACCAAGGCGACGAUCCAUAGCUGGUCUGAGAGGAUGAUCAGCCACACUGGGACUGAGACACGGCCCAGACUACUACGGGAGGCAGCAGUGGGGAAUAUUGGAAAAUGGGCGAAAGACUGAUCCAGCAAUGACGCGUGAGUGAUGAAGGCCUUAGGGUUGUAAAGCUCUUUUAACCGGGAUGAUAAUGACAGUACCGGGAGAAUAAGCUCCGGCUAACUCCGUG
rnacentral:rRNA from 1 species